rnacentral:lncRNA from 1 species
CCGGAAGUGGGUCAGGAGUGCUCGUUCUCUCCGAGGGCAAUAUGCCAUCGCCUCGGGAGAAGCGUCAUGCCUCAGGACUGGAAGCGCUGUGGGGAGAAGCAGAGGUGGAAGCUGACGGGCCCGCGCCCAGCGUAGAAAACAUACAAGAAUGAAUAGGAAUGAAUGAAUGGGUGAAUGAAUGCAGUGCAGUCCAGGAAGACUUGUCACCCCCUACAUCGUGCGCCCACAAAAUGAAUCGUGCUUUUAAGCGUGAAUGAGGAUCCCCACGAGAUUGCAAUCCCGCUGGCGCUGUUGACUGUGGUGAAAACAAGAAUUAAGAACGUCACGUUUUCCAACGCCCCCCUCCCCCUUUGCUCGAUUCUUCUUGAGGCGCCAUCUUUGGCUUAUUAGAUGGCUCCUAAGGACCUGUGGAUUUGUGAAUAUUUAUCUUAAAUGCACAGAAUGACAAAAUAUCUGAAAUCUGCUUUGAAGUAUUACAGAUUAAAAAAGUGAUGACACGUCUGUAUCUAAAAUUUGCUUCUUGUUCAAACUGAAUGUUGGUUUGCAUGUAUGUUCAUGUGCCUUGUGUGUACCUGAGUCCCCCGGAGACCAGAAGAAGGUGUCCGAUUACCUAGAAUGGAG